UACCAGCACCCCGAGUGGUCGGGACGUUUAUUGGGCCUAAAGCAUCCGUAGCCGGUUCUACAAGUCUUCCGUUAAAUCCACCUGCUUAACAGAUGGGCUGCGGAAGAUACUAUAGAGCUAGGAGGCGGGAGAGGCAAGCGGUACUCGAUGGGUAGGGGUAAAAUCCGUUGAUCCAUUGAAGACCACCAGUGGCGAAGGCGGCUUGCCAGAACGCGCUCGACGGUGAGGGAUGAAAGCUGGGGGAGCAAAGCCGG
rnacentral:rRNA from 1 species